rnacentral:rRNA from 1 species
CCUACGUGGUGCAGCAGUGGGGGAUAUUGCACAAUGGGGGGAACCCUGAUGCAGCGACGCCGCGUGGGUGAAGAAGCGCCUCGGCGCGUAAAGCCCUGUCAGCAGGGAAGAAAAUGACGGUACCUGAAGAAGAAGCCCCGGCUAACUACGUGCCAGCAGCCGCGGUAAUACGUAGGGGGCAAGCGUUAUCCGGAUUUACUGGGUGUAAAGGGGGCGCAGACGGCGAUGCAAGCCAGGAGUGAAAGCCCGGGGCCCAACCCCGGGACUGCUCUUGGAACUGCGUGGCUGGAGUGCAGGAGGGGCAGGCGGAAUUCCUGGUGUAGCGGUGAAAUGCUUAGAUAUCAGGAGGAACAUCGGUGGCGUAAGCGCUUUACUGGGCCGUAAUUGACGCUGAGGAACGAAAGCCAGGGUAGCAAAUGGGAUUAGAUACCCUUGUAGUC